AUUGAACGCUGGCGGCAGGACUAACACAUGCAAGUCGAACGAGUGGCGGACGGGUGCGUACUGUCUGGGAAACUGCCCGAUGGGGGGGGAUAACUACUGGAAACGGUAGCUAAUACCGCAUACCAUCGGAUGUGCCCAGAUGGGAGUAGCUAGUAGGGGGGGUAACGGCUCACCUAGGCGACGAUCCCUAGCUGGUCUGAGAGGAUGACCAGCCACACUGGAAGUGAGACACGGUGCAGACUCCAACGGGAGGCAGCAGUGGGGAAUAUUGCACAAUGGGCGAAAGCCUGAUGCAGGCAUGCCGCGUGUAUGAAGAAGGCCUUCGGGUUGUAAAGUACGUUCAGCGGGGAGGCGUUACCCGCAGAAGAAGCACCGGCUAACUCCGUGCCAGCAGCCGCGGUAAUAC
rnacentral:rRNA from 1 species